CCUGGGUCACAACAGUUUACUAAACCUCAAGUUGUCAUGUUUUUCUUUCUUUCUUCACAACCUUUUUCUUUCAUUCAUCUGUUUCUUUACGACAUUGAUACACAAUGCCACUCUUAAAGCAAAGCAUAACCCAAUUAUAAUUUUUAAUAACAAUGUAUUGGAUUUAAUGAAGAACAGACUUGACCUGAUUUUUGUUUCUUAUCUUUUGGGUUUUUGAUGUACGAAUGUGAAAGAUAAUUGUAAGUUAUGUGUCUUUUUUUUUUUUUUUUUUGAAGAAGUUUUAAAUGAGUUCAUGAGAUUUCCAGGACUGUUUCUUGUCACUUCUCCAUCAGCUCUCAGUCCAUUUAAUCCAAGCUUCUCAGCUGUAGGACUCCAGCUCCUGUUGUGAGUGAUCGGCCUGCUUGAGUGCUCUCAGCUUCUCCUGUCACAUCACAUUUGCAUAAAAGAGGACAGAUAACCAAAUUUGAGUGCACAAAUGAAAAUGUUAAGCGCCAAACCUGUCACAGUUGUUGUUCAACUAAUUGUGAAAAAUUUGAUUUGCUAGCUUUUUGCUGUUCAUCAUGCAGGCCCCCAUCUCAAAUUUGCUGUAGCUUUCUGCUACUGUGCAUGUACCUUCUAAACUAUAUGCACAAGCUGGUCGCCCAAGGGAUUACUUACCUCUCCUACUAGCUUUUAAUGUUGCCUCAUCUACUUGACUAAAUUAGGCCACCAUGGCAAACAAACACAUAAUUAAAAACCUGUAAGACAACUGCAGACAUAUCUUCUUAAAUUGAUUUUUUUUCCUUUUGUAGUUGUGUGCUGAAAUCCAGUUGCUUCUCUCCUUCCACCCCUCGCUCCUCUAUCUUACGUUGUUUUGAAAUAAAUGGAUUGUUUUCCCUCUCUGAAUUUAUUUUUGAAUUCCAAUUGGCUUGACUUUAUAGAUUAUUUUUUUAUAGAAGUGAGACAGAUCUCUUUAAAGCUUUUAAGCCUCUCAUCUCCAAAAUGUUUUCUAUGAAAAAUACAGCAUAAAAUUGUUAUGAGUCUGCAAAUUUUCAUAUGGUACUAUUGAUAUAUUACUGGUACUUUCAUUCAUAGUCAGCUAAAAGAGAUCACUGCCAAUCUGCUUCUUUGAGCAGAUUUUAAGGAAUGCUGUUUUCUCAUUACUAUGUUCUAUAGUCAGAGUCUUCUUUACACCUUGCUCAAGAAAUAUAAUAAAACAGUCACAAGGCCAAGAAGACUUACAAGUAUGUUCAGAAACUCUUGUCUUGAUUACCUCACAUUUCAACUGACCUCAUUGGGUGAACUGAAUCCACUGGACAUGUAUAUAUGAAACAAGUAUGAAUAAUAUUCUAUCUGUAAUUGCUAAUUCUAAGUAUACUUGGUAAGUGAUGGAAUGUAUACUAGAUAUAUGAAUCAGGGUCCACCCUGCCCCUUGUGUGUGUGUGUUAUAAAUUAAAACUAAGAAUUUUUUUAAAAAAACAUUUGUUUUACUUUGAAAAAGUCUGAAGGAUCCCCAGGAGUUGCCAGACCAAGUACGAUGCUUUGGAGAAUAUACAAUGUUAGGAACAAAAACUUGUCUCUUCCCAAUUAGUUCAAAACCAUUUCAUGGUUAAAUGAAAGAACUUAAUUAACACAGGGAUAUUAUGCCUAUAAGGACUGAAUUUUUUACUGUCUUUCAGAGACAGGGUGAUGCCCUCAUUUGAGUUGUGCAUGCAUCCGUUUUUCCAGCUCAGGUCGCAGAAUUUUAGUUUCCAUAAUGAACUGAGUUUCUAAAAGCUAAUGAAUCAGGUGUACCUUUAGCUGGACUCUAUUUUUUUCUUGUCCAGAGUAUGAAAUUGUCCGACAGAGUGUUUGAACAGAAGUGACAUAAGAUAUGUACCAAGUCUAGCAAUCUAUUUAAUUUUUGAACUAAUAUUAGUGGGAAACUGUUUUGUUCCGUUCCCUUAGGUCUCAAGCCUGCAGCUUCCUCUUACCCUCCUAUUAGACAACUAUUGACAUUUGAUUAACAGCAGUCCUUUCUCUCGCUUCCAUUAGUACCCCUGUGCGUUGUGCUGGGAUUUUUCUCAUUUGCCCCUGUUCACUUGCGCAAAUAUUCUCCCUCCCCAAUGCUUACUCUUUCUGACUGUGUAUGAAAAUGGAAAGCCUCCACACACGUGCAGCUUGAUUGCUAUGGACUAUGAUUGAUUCUUUGUUAGAAAUCUACUCACUGUUGGAACUCUGUUCACUGGCUAAAAACUUGGAAGUUCCAUACCAAGUUCCAUUGAAAGUUUGCUUGCUUGCUUGUAACUAGCUCCUAGUUAACCUGGUCAGAAACCUAGCCUAGAUAAAAAUGGUAAUACGACAGCAUUGUUAUGAAAUACAGGUCGUCCUUGACUUCCAACAGUUUGUUUAAUGACCAUUUAAAGUUGACAGUGGCACUGUAAAAAAAAAAUAUGACUUAGGAUCGUAUUUCACACUUAUGACCGUUGCGGCAUCUCCAUGAUUAUGUGAUCAAAAUUCGGAUGUUUGGCAACCGGCAUGUAUUUAUGACGGUUGCAGUAUCCUGAGAUCAUUUGAUCACUGUUUGUGACCUCCUGACAAUGGGGAAGCCAGAUUCCCCAUUGGUCAAUCUGAUGAAUGGAUGAGAAAAACUGAAAAACUGCAGUGAUUCAUUUUAACAAAAUUUGUAUGGAAAUUUGUAUUACAGUCACUGACCAGAAUGCAAUCAGAAUAUUGUUGUCCUGGUGUUCUUCUUCUAAAAUAAAGCUUUACUAUUUCUCUCCUGCUUAUAACCCUGUGUGCUUAAUGUGCUGUUAUGAUGGGUGUUGUAACUUGGGGGAAGCAAUUGAUGAAAAAACAAAAAGUGAUGGUAGUUUUGUUUACACUAGACCUCAGAUAAAUCCAUAAUCUACCUUCUCAGUAUUAAUUACAACAUAAAUCUUUGGCCAACCAUAGACUGGAUUCCAAGGGUUGAAUCUACAUCUAGUUAGCUGACUUACAUUGGAAUUAACAACUCAUUCGAACCUCGUAAUUUCAAAGGCAUCCAUAUUCAAAUAACUUAAAACUACAGGUGCCAUAGUCUCCAACUUACUACCAUUCAUGUAAUGAAGAUUUGAGAUUACAAAGGCACUUGAAGAAGUGUUUUAUGAUCAUUUUUCACAGAACCAUCACAACAUCCCUAUGGUUACAAGAUCAACAUUGGGACACUUGGUGACUGGCUCAUACUUAUGAUGGUUGCUGCGUCCCAAGGUCAUGUGAUCACCUCUAGGAACCUUCUGACAAGCAAAGUCAAUGGGGAAGCCAAGUUCACUUUGCCACAGGGUUACUAACUUAACAACUACAGUGAUUCACUCAACAAGUGUAGCAAGAAAGGUCUUAAAAUGGGGCUAAAUUCACUGUCUCACUUAGCAAUGGAAAUUUGGGGCUCAAUUGUGGUCAUAAGUUGAGGACUAUCUCUACCACAGAAAUCUAUUGAUGUGCUAGCAAGGAAUUAACACUAACUCAAGAUUUUUCUGACCAAGAAGAGGGACUUCUACAGACAAUCCCAUUCUCAUUAGAAGUUCUGCGAUCUUAGCCCUCUAACAAACAUCAGAUCUUCCACUUGAGGAAGUCUUGCUGGGUCUUAAUAAUUUUCUUAAUAACGCUUCAGACUCCGCUGAGUAGAUGGUUUUCUUGUUCAUCCUACAACUCUCCUGAUGGCAGCAGAUCUGAUGGGGAUUUCUGCCACCAUAGAAACAACCAGCUGGUUGCUAGAAAACCUUUUUGGAAGUACAAACACAUGGUAAAGAGUACUCAAAAACCAGAAAGAGACUACCACCAAAAUUUUAAAAAAUGGAAGGGAUGUCGUAUCUUCAGUGUCAUUUAAAAACAUAAUAAUGCUAACUUAUUAGCUCACAUGGGUUAAUGUGAACUUGGAAAUAAUGGCAUAACUCAGAUACCAAAAUGAUAAUCCAGUUAUUGAAUAAAUCACAAAACCUUUAUAUUUUUAAUUUAGCACACAUUCAUGGAUGCUGCUGUCACAAAGGUUUAUAUAAAUAACUUAUACAAUGAUCUGGGCUUACACUGUGAAUUUAUUUGGAGAGAGAAUUUUAUUCAGCAUCCUGUUUGAAGAGAUAAAAAGUAUGCAGAGAUUGUAUUCAUAACAAGUGUCCUUUUAUAAAAGUUUAACUUGGCAAGGUUUGUUUGUUUCAAGUUUGGUCAGUUUGCUAAAUUCCCAUUUUUUUAAUAGUAUCUUUAAAAAUCUUGAACUAACUUCAUGAUUCCCUUUUUAAUCACAGCUGUGGAUUAAAUGCUAUACUGUAAGAAUAAGGGAUAGUAAAAUCUAUUUCUCUUCAUUUAAAUCACUCCCAUUUUUGUCAACUGGGAGAGCUAGAUAACAGGCUGUAGGCCUCCCAAAGCUUUCCAGCUUUAACAAAAUGCAAUUCAAAAAAGAAUGAGCCUCAAACAAAAGAAAAAGUUUUUAAAAAAUGCAUUUGUGCUCUUAAUUGAGGCAAUGGCAUCCAUUUAUCAGAAUUAAUAUAUGCAUAGAUAGGGGUGACUUCUGACCAAGAGGAUCUCAGGAUGAUUUGGAAGAAUUCAAGCUUUUUACAGUGGACUUUAUAAGAACGUGGUUGGAUCACAGACACUCAACAAUAAAAUAAUAGCAAUAGCAACAACUUAUUAGACUUAUAUAUACUGCCCCAUAGUGGUAUACAGCUGCCUUCUCAGGACAGUUUUACAGAAUCAGCCUAUUGCCCCCAACAAUCUGUUUCCUCAUUUUAUUGACCUCGGAAGGAUGGAAGGCUGAGUCAACCUUGAGCCGGUCAGGAUCGAACUGCUGGCUAUGGGCAGAGUUAGCCUGCAAUCCUGCAUUCUAGCCACUGUGCCACCCGGGUGCUGAGAAAUAAUGCUCUCCUUGAGAAGCGCUGACAUUAUCAGAGGAUUUUAAUCAAAAUACAAAGAUGGGGAAGGGGCAUCUGAACACCCCAUAACUCUGUUGUGUCACUUCCAACAAGCCAUUCCAAUUUUUCAAUUGCAUUCUUCUCAACAUUGAUGAGGUGUUUUUUUUUAAAAAAAGUAUUUUUGUGACUCCCCUGGACAACAGAAACAAAGCAGACCCUAUGUUGCUGACUAAGAAGAUCCAGCCACUUACAUCUUCUGUCUUUUAAAAGAGCAUUGAAGUAAAAGGGAGGUCAUUAUGACCGCAUCCAAACAAAAGAAAUAUUCCUUUCCUUUCCAGAAAACACUGUUCCAGCUGCCCUGUAAAGUAGCUCACCAGGUCUCAUCCAUCCAGCAGAGGUCUGCUAGACUUGUUUGUGAGAGAGAGAGACAUAACUCAUACACUUCAAUAAGCUGAAGUUUAAUUUAAUCAUAGUUUGCUGAAUAAGCCACAAUUGGCUGGCUUUGUGAUCAUAAGCUAUAAGUGAUUAUCUGAAAUUGUAACACAUGCAUUCAUAGCAGCCAAAAUAAGCCAUAUAAGCACGACCUGUAAACCCAAAUGUGUGUGAAGCUUAGCAUUAUCUGUCCAUUGGCUAGCCAUGUUGAGAACUAAUUUAUUCAAAAACACAACAUCCAUCUUCAAAGUAAACUCUGAUUGCUAUUUAAAUACAUUCCAAAUUCUAUCAGGCAUAUUAGGAUUAUGGCAGGAAAGGUGGGGAUAAAAAGCUAAACUCUUUCUUCUAGAGGGCUUACUUUCAUGGGAGAGAGAGUAGGAAGCCAUUUUGGAGGCUGUGGUGAUGAGUAGAAACCUUCAUUAACCUAGAUAUUAAUUCAAGGCAGAAAUAUGAAAGCACCCUAUUGAGAAAGGCUGAAGUAACAUGUUAAAUCUCUCUCUCUCUCUCCCUCUCUCUCUCUGUGUCUCUCUCCCUCUGUCUCUCUCUCUCUCACACACACACACAUACAAUCAAAAUUUUAGUGCAAGCUUUUACUUGCCAUUAGUACAGAGGUGGGUUUCAGCAGGUUCUGACCAGUUCUGCAGAACCAGUAGCAGAAAUUUUGAGUAGUUCAGAGAACCGGUAGUAAAAAUUCUGACCGGUCCCGCCCCCAUCUAUUCUCUGCCUCCCAAAUCUCAGCUGAUUGGGAGGAAAUGGGGAUUUUGCAGUAACCUUCCCCACCAAGCUAUGCCCACAGAACAGGUAGUAAAAAAUUUUUGAAACCCACCGCUGAAUUAGUAGUGCAGUUACUCAAGAACUUUAUCACAUUUUUUCAAAUAUAGAAAGGGUUCUCUUCCCAAGCAAUCCAAUGGGAGAUUGAUGGACUCUGUCUGAAAUAGCAGUCUGGAUUUGAAUCCAGCAAUGCCAAAGGGCAAACAAGCUCCAGCACUAGGUUCAGGGUGGAGCCACAGAGCAAGGCCAGAAGAGCAGGGACUGAGGAACCUCAAGGUAUGAUCUUCUGAUCCAUCUUUAUGGAACUGACUUGGUCCCCUGAGGAACCUCGCAUGACAUAGAUUUGAAGACUUGGGUAAGGAGGAAGCAAAGCUGUUUCUCUGUUCAGCGAAAGAUACCAAGAUGGUCUUCCAUUUGACAUCAUGGCCUUGAGGGUGAGAAGUUGUAGCUUCCUAGGCCCCUUAUUCCUUGGGCCACAAUGGUAGUUUGGUUGUGACUCUUAAGGAUCACAAUGCUUUUGCCUUAUCUAGGCCAACUCAAACACUAAUGUUCUUGUGACAAAUUCCCUUGAAGGCAGUCUCACUCUUAAUAGAUGAAGACAGUAUCACAGUAUGUGGAAGUACUCGUUUUUCUGUAUAAGAAUUCCACUAGUUUUAAGUCAAAGCUGGCAAAACAAAAUUUCUAAGGCUAUUUUUAUUUAAAUGUGUCCAUUCAAAGUAUCAGGAAGCAUUGUGAAAAUAUUUAUGGCGUCCAUGUUUCAAAAUAAAACAUUUAAGCAGAAUGAAAGGUAGAAAGGGGACUAAUUUUUAGAUUUUAGAUUAUAAAGGAAGAUUUAUUCCCAAUGUAACUACAUCAAGUUUGUCCAUUUAAAACAGUAUAGUAUAAAAUCCUUUUUUUUUGUCUGAUGCACCCUAUACAAAAGUAUACUUAAUUUUUAUCUUAACAAAGUUGAUUAGGGGACUGGAAGCUAAAUCAUUCAAAGAACAGUUGCUGGAACUGGGUAUGUCUAGUUUCAUGAAAAGAAGGACUGGGGUGACAUGAUAGUAGUGUUCUAAUAUCUCAGGAGUUGCCACAAGGAAGAAGGGAUCAACUUAUUUUCCAAAGCACCUACAGGCAGGACAAGAAGCAAUGGAUGGAAACUAAUCAAGAAAUGAAGCAAUGUAAAACUAAGGAAAAAUUUCAUGACAGUGAGAACAAUUAACCAGUGGAACAACUUGCCUGCAGAAGUUGUGAAUUCUCCAACACUGGAAGUUUUGGACAACCAUUUGUCUGAAAUGGUAGAAGGUUUCCUGACUGAGCAGAUGGUUGGACUAGAAGACCUGCAAGGUCUCUUCCAGCUGUGUUAUUCUGUAAUUUUUACAAAUUGUCUUCUAAAACAAAAUAUAUAUUGUUAUUGAAAUAUGAUGGGUUUUGGUGUUUUGAGGAGGUGGUUGUUCUAAAGGAAUAUGUCAGGAUUUUUUCCUCAAAUUAAAAUUGACCCAAGGUAUAUUUUAUAGCAUUAUAAAAUAUACCUUAUAUAGGUAUAUUUAUAGGUAUACUGUAUAUAGCAUAAUUCUAUUUUAUAGAAUUAUUGAAUUCAUCACAUUUUGCUUAAAAAAAAAACCCCAUGUAUGUGUUACAGCUUACUACAGGUAGUCCUUGACUUAGGGAGACAACAGAGCCCCAACUUUCUGUUGCUAAAUAAGACAUUUUUGAGUGAGUUUUGCCCCAUUUUAUGACUUUUCUUGCCACAGUUGUUACGUGAAUCACUGCAGUUGUAAAAUUGCUAACAUGGUUAAGUGAAUCCGGCUUCUCCAUUGAAGUUGCCUGUCAGAAGGUCGCAAAAAAUGAUCACAUGCCCCUGGGACACUGCAACUGUCCUAAGUACAUGCCAGUUUCCAAGUGUCUGAAUUUUGAUCAUGUGACCAUGGGGAUGCCCAGUGAUCAUAAGUAUGGAAAACGGGCCCUAAGUCACUUUUUUCAGUUCCGUUGUAACUUUGAUCUGUCACUGAAUGAAUUGUUGUAAGUUGAGGACCACCUGUAUAGCAAUGUUUUGGAUUGUCAUGGAUCAUAAUUUUAGCAGGAUGAACUGUAGGUCAUAUUUUUUUAAAAAAAUAAAGAAGUAUUUUUCCUUCAACUUAUUGACUUUUUUGUUUUAAAGUUAAAUUGGCUAACUAUUUCAGUAAAUAAAUUAAAAAUUUGGAUUCUGUUCUACGGAUGACACUCAACUGGAUCAAAUCCUAAUUUAACUAUCUUAAAUGAAUGCGCAAGGCAGGCUUUUCCCCCCAUAUUUUUUCAUCAAUUUUUAAUAGAAUAUGUUAUUUCUGUGCCUCCAUCUGUUGCAAAACAAUAUAAUAUCCUGGUUACAGAAUACAAUAUACAAUGAAAGAUGCUUAGGUGUUAGCGAUGGGGCCAAAUGAGAAGAACAUCCUUGUAAUGGAAAGGACAAAUCGACUCCAUAACUGACCAUUGGAUCAAGAGCCAAUUGAUAAAAAAAUGUAGCACAACUUUCCAUUCAGCUAAGAAAGAAGGAACCCUCUGAUCUCAGGCAGGACCCAAAGCAUCUCUUCAUCUUCAGGUUUUGUCUUCAGUUUACAUUGUGUGUUUGCGUAUGUGUGAGUUAUAAGCUUAGGGACAAAGCUUGCAUUUAUAUCUUGAAUUAUGUAUAGCGCUUAGUCCAUUUAAAUGCUCUAGCGGAAAAAAAAAAGCAACUUUCUGCCUUUGUUUAAUACUGUUAACAAAUGACGCAGAAUCAGAGAUAUAGGUUCAGAUCUAUCCAUAUCAACCUAUUGUAUACCUGAUGCCCUGAGUUUUGACACAUCCUCUAUCUAAAAAUUAGUAUUAGUAAUAAAAAAAAGACUUGCCAAUAAAUGAGAAUAUUUGUAGCUCAGGGUUGAAAUGAAGGGUCUGUUGCGACCCAGGCCCAAGUAGGCAGUAGGAAAUUCAGUCAGUGUAAAAACAAAAGAACUUUAUUAGAACAGCUGAGAAUUAACUCAUUCUCAGCGUAGUCCAACUAAAUUAAAGCAAAUGCCUCCCAACACAAUUCCUCAGUUCUGUCACCAACCUUGGUCCAAUUAGGCAAACUGCCAAAGGCCUUUCUUGGCAAAAGUUCAGAAGACACCAAUACAAAACAAAUGCAACAAGACGAAGCUAUCAACAUUGUUUUCUGGCAAACAGCCCAAACGCCAUUGUUGACCUUUUAAGCCUUAUGGGAGGGGCCCAUCAUCUCUUGGCCCUACUCCCGAGUCAUCCUCUUUGCUUUAGCUGCUCUUGCCUUCUGGCAGCUCUUCUCAUGCGUGUAUUAGGAACAGGCUCCUCCUGUUCCUCUGCCUCACUACUAUCAGUCUAUGGAGGCUCUGGAGUCUGCACAUCACUCCCAGAUGGCCCUGGCCCCACCUCUGCCUCCAACGCAGAGCCCUCAUCCGGGCCUUCCCCAGCCUCCAGGACUGGCACAUGUUUUUCCUCAGCCUCAUCGCUGUCUGACUCCCUUGCCAGCUCCGCAGGCUGCGGGUGGACUACAACAGGGUCUUUGGUGCUCUCUUGAGUUUGGUUGUUUUCUUGUAGACGUUUCGUUACCCAACUAGGUAACAUCAUUGGUACUAGUCAAUCUGGAGCUCUGUUAUUGGCUGCAGAGGCCUUCAGGAAAGCCUUACCAGCUG